GUUACAGACUGGUGUUACAAAACAACGGGACGUUGUACGUCAAGCAGCGGGCAGGUCACUUGUCCUAUGUUGAAGACCCAAAGGGAUACAGAAGCAUGUUGGCCAAAUCUUUGACCAGUGAUCACUCGAGCCAUUCUUCAGUAAAGCCUGAUGUAGUGAAGGCCUUCACUUCAGACCCUAGACUGCUCGCUCUGACAGAAUACUUCCUAAACACAAAGAAUAUGAAGGAUGUGGAUUUCCUGCAGAUUCUGUCCUCCAUUGUGUAUGAGUGUGUUACAAAAGAGAAGCCAGAAUCUAUCCCUUCCUAUGUAGAUCUU